rnacentral:lncRNA from 1 species
CUCCAGUGUAGGUUAUCUAUGAAACAAACCCAUUUUACCUAUCUAGAAACUAAAGCUUUGCCAUUUGUUCAUCCAUUCUUUUCUGCCUUGUUAUAAAAUAUUCAAUUUCUUGUAACGUCACCAAGCAGGUGAAAAAAAAUCUGUAUUAAAGUUUGCAAAAUUCAUUUGUAAUCUUCUAUCUUUAUUUUUUUACACAGAGUGUAUUUUCUCAUUUCAGAACAUUCUGCAAUUUACCUGCAAAAUGGAACUGCUGCUUAUGGCUGUUAGCAGUUGCAACAUUUCUUUACGCCCGGUGACCCCCAUUUCCACGUGCCCAGCUCCCAGAAGCUUCUCUGUGUGCCCAGCUGCCUCAGCCCGACUGCGAGAUGUCUGGCUCUCGCUGGGAGCCAGAAAGGAAGAGGAACGGCACGUCGAUCCGCGGAGCACAUCCUCCCACGCGCUGGCAGGCCCUGGUCCCCACAGGAUCCGAUUGCAGAAACUCUAUUUUUUUUUUUUUUUUCCUUUCUAAAUGUUGCUGAUGGAAGAGAUGGUUGUGGCUCCGUCUUCUCUGUAACCUGUAGCCGGGCUUUUGGAGAAGUCGAGCCAAGAAGCGGGUAACCCAGUUUGUUCUUAUCUUCUUGGAGGCCACCACCACGUUGCCCAGCUCCAGGAGGAGUGCUCAGAGCAGUAGGUUGCGGACCAGCCUGGGGAGGCUGAUUCCCUAAAGCUUUUGUUGGGGUUUUACCACUGUGUGCAAGAAGUAUUACACUAGGGGGUUAAAAAAGAAAAGGACUGUGACUGUGGCUUAAUCUGAACCGUAUGUGGGCACCACCAGCAAGUCCUGCAGGCUGGGCUCUUAACUCUUUUUUAAGAACAGGAGCUUU